GCAGCCAGUGUGUCACGGGAAAUUGCACGGAUUCAAAAUGUAUAUGUGAUGAUGGGACAACGUUCAGCACUUGCGCUGUUGCGUGUGUUCCCGAUUGUAAUAGCACAGUGACAGGCACAACAGGAACGAUAACCAGCCCAAGUUAUCCACAAAGUUUUGCAGCCUACUGUACUUGGACCAUUCGAGGACCGAUGGAGACAUACAUAUCCUUCGAUUUAAAAUACAUGAACACAAGUACAGUCAAGGACUGCUCAUCAGACUACCUGCAGAUUUUUAACGGAUCAUCG